GGAAUUUUGGACAAUGGGCGCAAGCCUGAUCCAGCAAUGCCGCGUGAGUGAAGAAGGCCUUCGGGUUGUAAAGCUCUUUUGUCAGGGAAGAAACGGGUCUUUCUAAUACAGAGGCCUAAUGACGGUACCUGAAGAAUAAGCACCGGCUAACUACGUGCCAGCAGCCGCGGUAAUACGUAGGGUGCAAGCGUUAAUCGGAAUUACUGGGCGUAAAGCGUGCGCAGGCGGUUUUGUAAGACUGUCGUGAAAUCCCCGGGCUCAACCUGGGAAUGGCGAUGGUGACUGCAAGGCUAGAGUUUGGCAGAGGGGGGUAGAAUUCCACGUGUAGCAGUGAAAUGCGUAGAUAUGUGGAGGAACACCGAUGGCGAAGGCAGCCCCCUGGGUCAAAACUGACGCUCAUGCACGAAAGCGUGGGGAGCAAACAGGAUUAGAUACCCGGG
rnacentral:rRNA from 1 species